rnacentral:precursor_RNA from 1 species
AGAAGUAAUUGUGGGCUUUGCUGUUACUUUUCGUGGCAAAACCUGCAAUUACUUUUGC